rnacentral:misc_RNA from 1 species
UUUCCGUAGGUGAACCUGCGGAAGGAUCAUUACUAAAGCAUCUACAAAUGCUAACCGUGUGAAUUGUCGUCGUCGCGUCGCGCUGUUGCCGCGCGCGCAUGCUCUCAUGUGUGUGUGUGUGUGCGACGCGUGCACGCGACAACUAUAAACGCGCAUCUACUUGUCAGUUGGUUAUACUUAUUAUCGAAGCUUUAUAUAACUUUUAACAAUGGAUCUCUUGGCUCUU